AUACUUACCUGGCAGAGAAGACACCAUGCCCAAGGAGGUGGUUCUUCCAGGGCGAGACUCACCUAUUGCACUCUGGGUGUGUUGACCUCUGCGAUUUCCUCAAAUAGAGGACACUCGUCUGUGUAAUUUGUGGUAGAGGGGGACUGCGUGCGUGCUUUCCCCCA